UGCCUUCUAAGGAUUGCAUCUGGAGAGUUUCCAGUACUCUACCAGGCCCAGGUAUUGAAGGAAGAGUCAAGCAGAGGCCUACCCAUUUCAUUCCUAGCUUGGGCAGUGGCCAGCGAGUGGAAGGUAAUGUGCUACAAGU